rnacentral:rRNA from 1 species
UACAGAGGUCUCAAGCGUUGUUCGGAUUCAUUGGGCGUAAAGGGUGCGUAGGUGGCGCUGUAAGUCGGGUGUGAAAUUUCGGAGCUUAACUCCGAAACUGCAUUCGAUACUGCGGUGCUUGAGGACUGGAGAGGAGACUGGAAUUCAUGGUGUAGCAGUGAAAUGCGUAGAGAUCAUGAGGAAGACCAGUGGCGAAGGCGGGUCUCUGGACAGUUCCUGACGCUGAGGUGCGAAAGCGUGGGGAGCAAACGGG